rnacentral:rRNA from 1 species
GAUGAACGCUGGCGGCGUGCCUAAUACAUGCAAGUCGAACGCAUUGUGGUUGAAAUGAUAUGAAGAACUUGUUCAGAUUUGAUUUUCAACAUUGCAAUGAGUGGCGAACGGGUGAGUAACACGUGGGAAACCUACCUCUUAGCAGGGGAUAACAUUUGGAAACAAAUGCUAAUACCGUAUAAUAAUUAAAACCGCAUGGUUUUAGUUUAAAAGAUGGUCUUGCUAUCACUAAGAGAUGGUCCCGCGGUGUAUUAGUUAGUUGGUGAGGUAAUGGCUCACCAAGACAAUGAUACAUAGCCGAGUUGAGAGACUGACCGGCCACAAUGGGACUGAGACACGGCCCAUACUCCUACGGGAGGCAGCAGUAGGGAAUCUUCCACAAUGGACGAAAGUCUGAUGGAGCAACGCCGCGUGUGUGAUGAAGGGUUUCGGCUCGUAAAACACUGUUGUAAGAGAAGAAUGACAUUGAGAGUAACUGUUCAAAGUGUGUGACGGUAU